rnacentral:rRNA from 1 species
UACGUAGGGUGCGAGCGUUAAUCGGAAUUACUGGGCGUAAAGCGUGCGUAGGCGGUUGCACAAGCUUGAUGUGAAAGCCCCGGGCUCAACCUGGGAAUGGCAUUGAGGACUGUGCGGCUUGAGUGCGGCAGAGGGAGGUGGAAUUCCAGGUGUAGCAGUGAAAUGCGUAGAGAUCUGGAGGAACACCGGUGGCGAAGGCGGCAUCCUGGACCGGUAUUGACGCUGAGGCGCGAAAGCUAGGGGAGCAAACGGG